AUAACGCCUCAGUAAAGUGUGACAGGAUGAGGUCACAGAAGAUUCGCAGACGACCCGAGUCCUGCCACGCCUACCACCCACAGGAGAACGCCAAUGACUGUGGAGGAGCUUCUUUUAUAUCUCUCUCUGCCUCUCUCUUCUUUAUCUGUCUGUCCUUCUCGGCACUUGUCUCCUGAUGAUGGACAACUUUGCUGUUUCAUCCAUUCUCAUAUAAAGGAGGAGACUGGAAUAAAUCAAGAGAUGUGUUUGGACACUGGACACCUCAAGUGGAUUUUUUGGAAAACAUACCUAAUUCUGCACAGUUUGCUCAUGACAACCACAAGCCUAGUCUCUCCUGGUGGACAUUUGAUGUGGUUUAUGGGUAUUUGUUGAAUAAUUCCUGGAGAUUAGUACAUCUGAAGUUAAAAAAAAAUAACAGCAAAGAAAGUAAGUUAAUGGGCUGUUGUUGCCAUGGAUACUUUUCCAUUAGUUACUUUCUCACACACCACUUUGCAUCUUAAAAUGAAAAGGGACUAAAGAGAUGGUGGUGCCUCUGACAUGCAUUGAUAGAGAGGAUUAUGAGUCACAAGGUGCGACAUAACAAAGUCCAGGGGGGAAACACACAUGUUUCUCAUUUCCCAUAUCACACUGAACUGUGUGUUGCAGACACACGUGCAUAUUAUAUAUGCGGCUGCAAGCACGCACACCUCCAAUACAGAGACAUCCAAUAUUUAUCAACCACAAUGCUUUAUUUACAGACUUUGCUUUUUAAUGUUGAAUAACAGCCACUGUGAGAAGGGUUACAGCAAUAUGUGGGGAAACACUGUUGUGCUGCUGGUGGGAGUCAUGUUAUUGCAGUGUUAAUGGAUAAUGGACAAUGGAUAAGGCUACGGCUCAGUGCCUAGAGUAGAGAGCAGUCACAAUGGGGUUACAUAGAAAUGAGAUAAGUAUGAAAAUGCAAUAAGGAUGAUAAGAGUGGGGAUUGUCAGACACUUGGGGAUUUCAUUUUUUAGUUUAUGCUUUGAUGAUGUCCCAAAAUUUUUUGUUUCUUUAGAAAAUGUCUGUCUGCCUUUUCUGUCUUAUCAGCUGUGUCUUUCUCUGUGUUUGUACAUAUUGUUUGUAAUUAUGUUUGUCUAUUUGGCUGGACAUGUGGAAACUCUCACAGGGUAUAGGUCUACAAUCAGCAUGGAUUACACAAAAAUAGACUAAGGUUUAAAAUGUAUUCAGAUAAGAUUUUGUUUUGUUUUUCGCUUUAAAAAUGCUCAUACACAGUUUCAAUCUGCAUGUCUUAACCACAAAGGAUUGUGUGUACAAUGUAUAAAUGAUUCAGGAAUCCAACAAAGAGUUAAUUAACUGUAAGACUAUUUUAAUGCAUUUGCUGAAGACUGUGUUUAGACCUCAACAUCAUGUAUCUGCAACUGAUUGCUGCCAUAAAUAAAUAUAUCAUUUUAUAAUUUCAUGAUAAAAGCAACAGAAAAGGUGACACUCACUCUGAGAAACAACAUUAUCAUAUGGAGAAAUACAUUUUUGAAAAUGUCAUGUUGAUACAUAUGUAACUGCAAUAUAAAUUGAUAUUGUAAAUCUAAUUACAUAGUAUUUUUGUAUACAUCUGCCUGCGUGGUUCAUAUUCAGGACUGUUCUGCUCAGCAUUACAUUGUAUUCUGGGCUGUGGGUGUCCCAGUAGCUUUUUCUAUAUUUUUCAUCAUCUUCCAAAGCAUGUCUUUGAGUUGAAUUAAUUCUGAUGACAAAAUUGCCUGAGAUUUCGCCUGUUCAUGUAUUAGACAAAGAUACAUAUUGUGUGUGUGGAUAUGUAUCAUUACAGUUUGUUCUCUCUUGCUGGGAUUAUGAGAGUAAUUUGACUCAUUUGUUUCAGUUUUGUUUGUAAUUUCCACUAUACAAUAUCCUGUAUAUUGUGUGGUUGAUAUGUCCACAUUGUAUGUUGGUUGACUUGACUGAGGCCAUGAUUUGUACAGUCAAUUAAAUUCUCCUUAUGGUUUUUGUACUGUA